rnacentral:tRNA from 3 species
GAUUCAGUAGCUCAGCAGGUAGAGCACAUCCCUUUUAAGGAUGGGGUCCUGGGUUCGAGCCCCAGCUGAAUCACCA